GUCUAUGGCCACCCUGAACAAGCCUGAUCCCAUCUGAUCUCGGAAGCUAAGCAGGGUCGGGCCUGGUUAGUACUUUCCUUGGAUGGGAGACCACCUAGGAAGACCAGGUGCUGUAGGCG
rnacentral:rRNA from 1 species